CAGUCCUGAUGCGCCAGGGGAUCUGGAAAGAUCUCUGGAGCUUGGCGCGGCAGUGCCAUGGCUCCAGACUUGGUCUUUGCCCCACUCGAGUGGCAAGGCCAGCCUUCUGAGAGGCAUUCCCCUGGUUGAGCUCCACUCACCUGUUCUUUUGUAAUCCUACCCCUUUGCCCUGUUUGGGAUAGAAUGUUCCCCGGAAAUUCCCUUUGUGUGUCCCCUUCUCUUGCUCUGCCCUUGGGUGUGGCCUUCCUAGCUGUCAGUCAACCUGCCGACAGCAGACAUAAUGAAGCCAGACUCAACCCCCCCAAACCUGACCCCUGGCCUGAUUUGAAUGGCUUCUCCCCAAUAAAAGGGCCUCUCUCUCUCUCUCUCUCUCUCUCUCUCUCUCUCUGCCUCUCCAGGGAGGCAGAGGCUGAAGAGGCUGCCCCAGGUGUGAUAAGACUCUGGCCCUGAGCCAGCCCAGCCCCUGGAUCUCAGGCCCAGGAUAAUCCCAGCCCAGGGUGCCUGGACCCAGCUGGUUCCCAGCCCAAACACCAGGCAGGAAUGCAUCCCUGGCGCCCCCCAGUGGCCUGGACCCUGAGCUAUAUGAUACGCCCACCUGGAGUGGAGGAGGGGGCCCUCCCAGGGCCUUUCUUCCAGCCAAUUGGCAGAGGAUGUGGAAGCAGCAGAAGUUGAGAAGACCAAUUGAUGUGAACUUGAUCUCAGCUCUUCCACCAGCUCUCUGGGAGACCUUGGACAAAUGCCAUGACUCCUCUGCCUGUUCCUUCAUCUGCAAAGUGGGACAUGUUCCCGACUGCACAGUGCUGCUGGGAGUUGAUUAAGUGAGGGUUAGAUGGCGCACCUGGGCCGCGUCCCAGUCCUCCCUCCGAGGCGUGCUGUUGCUGCCUUCAUGUCAAACCCAGAGCUGUUUGCAUCUGAUGAACUUCCAACGUGCCCCAAAAGAUUUUUAAAUAAUGGCAAAAUACACAAUUUUGUUGCAAAGCCACCAUUACAGAUGUGGAAAGAGAGCCACAUAAAAUAACCGCUGGCCUCGGAAAUACUGUGCGUAAGGGAUAUCACUUUUGUUUGAGGUGUUUAACAGUGUGCGUUCACAAUACAUAAGAGAGACAAAGACCUCACUUUCCCAGUAUGUAAAGAGCUCCUGCAGAUCAAUACAAAGGUGAUCAUCCAAUAGAAAAGGAACGGUGAUUGGCCACCAGAAAAACGACACAAAUGGCCUUUGAGUAUGUUUUAAAUUCCAAACCCUAACAUAGAAAGGAAACCCCCCACCCCACCCCCCAGGCUGGAACAGAAGCCUUCUCUAUUGGCAAGGCCAAGUCCACAAGUCUGAGGAUCCGGGGCCGUGGUUAGAAUGAGGAGGAAGCAGGCUCACAUAGGUUGGGUCCCCCUUAGACAGCACUUAGACGCUCAUUGUCAAAGUUCAAAAAUGCACCUGGGCAGUUCCAUGGCUAGGAAUUUGUCCUGCAGAAAUAACAGACCCAGGACCCAUUCUGGGGGAAGGACGCUGACCACUGCAUUGCUCCCUACAGCAAGCCUGAAACUACCCCGGGGACCAUCACCCGGAAGCUGGGUGGGACGCCGCUACAUCCAGACGGUGGACUUCGUGAAGAGCGCUCUCGAGGCUGAUCUGGAAAGAGCCCCCCCUCCAAGUACGUGGUCAGUGGGUAAAGGAGUGAGUGGAACCCGGCCCUGGGCAGGGGUGGAGCGGCUGCUGUUUGGAGAAGGCCGCGGGGGAGCUGGGCCCCCGGCUUCUCUGCAUUCUGGAUCUCCGUGGGGAUCCCCAAGAAGUGGUGACCCGCGUGGCGGCUGGGCGGGGACAGGGAGAGGCAAGGAUUGGAGGGAAAACAUCCACCAUAAAUCUCCAGGAACCUUUUGAACUGUUUAAAGUGUGAGCACAGUUUCCCAUUAAGUAUUUGGGAGGUUUUUAAAGCCUUGAUAGAUGGAGGAAAGAAACUCCAGGUGGGACCUUCUUCCAGGGCGGGGUGACGCUUCUCUCUGGGUGACUUAUUUUCUUCUUUUUACUUAAACCGAUUUUCUAAUUAAAAAAUAAUAAUUC
rnacentral:lncRNA from 1 species